AAAAGAUGUGGAGCCCCACAGCUUGAAAAGCACCUGCCUUGGGGGGUGCAGCCUUGGAAAGGGCUACACCUGCCUCUUAAAGGGGCCAGCCGGUAGUGCCAGGGCUCUCCCUCCCCUUUGUUAUAGGAGGAGCUCCCUCUCUGCUCCCUGGCAAAGCAAGGUAACUCUUACCAGAAACUAAAUGGAGACAUUAAAGAGGCUCAAAAGAGACUUGUACAUUUGAUGUGACCGGUAGAGAGCAUCUGAAUGGAGAGGGGGAUGCCUGCUGCUGCUUCACAAUUGCAAGCUCCGUUCUAGGGGCUGUUUGCUUCUUGCUGUUUCCCAAGGACAGACAGCAGCAGCUCCAGGGAAAGAGAUGUUUGUACACAAGCCAUCCCUCUCUGCUGCUCUUAGGCCAGGGCUGUUGGUCUGCUCUGGCGUGGAGCAGCUGUUGCUCCUUUUGCAGCAUGGAAAACUGCCUCCUCUUCAGCUCCUCUUGCUUUCCCCCAGAAUUCCCUCUAAUGAGCUUUCCAGUUCUGCUCCAAGCCUAACCUGGCAGGACCCCCACUCCUGCCAAGGUCCAUGCGCUCUUCCUCAGGAGCAGAAUGCCACAUCAGCAGGUCUCACAGCAGCAGGCUUAAGCCUUGGGGGAAUGCGUGUGAUCCUCCUGAGAAGUUGGCUGUCCCUUUGCUGCCUCCCUCCUCUGCCUUGUGGGCAGGCUGGUGUUGCUCACAUGCACCUCCAGGGCCCUUUGCUGACGGCCCCAUCUCUCGAGUGGUCAAAGGGGGGCCAGAACCUGAGAGAGGGAAGCUAAGCAAGAGAAAAAGGAGCCGCGCAGUGGAGGGAAGAAGGUUUUGCCUGCAUCUAGCACUGCCCGUAGUCUCUGCUCCACCAGGCAAAGGUGGGGCAGCUUACAGUCGUGGAAACGGGAGAGAGCCCACCAGGGCAUUGCGGGACAAAGGUGCUUAUGAAUAUGCAGAUGAGGCUCCAGUUUCCAGGCUCUGCUUUCAGGAGAGAGGCUGUGUGAUGGGGUUGCUGCCGCUGCCGCUGCCUCAAGAAGAGAAAUGUCAUGUAGCGGGGCUGGAAAUAAAUAUAUAAAGUCACUGCUGA